GCCGGAAUAGCUCAGUUGGUAGAGCAGAGGNCUGAAAAUCCUCGUG
rnacentral:tRNA from 1 species